GCCGUACCAUGCUGAAUAUACCGGUUCUCGUUAGAUCACCGAAGUCAAGCAUCAUUGGGCGCGGUCAGUACUUGGGUGGGUGACCACCUGGGAACACUGCGUGCCGU